GUAGUCGUGGCCGAGCGGUUAAGGCGGUGGACUAGAAAUCCAUUGGGGUUUCCCUGCACAGGUUCAAAUCCUGCCAACUGUG
rnacentral:tRNA from 1 species